rnacentral:rRNA from 1 species
GCGUCGACGCUGGCGGCGCGCCUAACACAUGCAAGUCGAACGGAGCGCAUAGGAAGAUUCUUUCGGGAUGAUUUUUGUGCUGCUUAGUGGCGAACGGGUGAGUAACACGUGAGCAACCUGCCCCUCGGUGGGGGACAACAUUUGGAAACAGAUGCUAAUACCGCAUAAGACCACGGUACCGCAUGGUACUGCGGCCAAAGAAGUAAUUCGCCGAGGGAUGGGCUCGCGUCCGAUUAGCUAGUUGGUGAGGUAACGGCCCACCAAGGCAACGAUCGGUAGCCGGACUGAGAGGUUGAUCGGCCACAUUGGGACUGAGACACGGCCCAGACUCCUACGGGAGGCAGCAGUGGGGAAUAUUGCACAAUGGGCGAAAGCCUGAUGCAGCGACGCCGCGUGAGGGAAGAAGGUUUUCGGAUUGUAAACCUCUGUUUUCGGGGACGAAGAAGUGACGGUACCCGAGGAGAAAGCCACGGCUAACUACGUGCCAGCAGCCGCGGUAAAACGUAGGUGGCAAGCGUUGUCCGGAAUUACUGGGUGUAAAGGGAGCGCAGGUGGGAUGGUAAGUCGGAUGUGAAAACUAUGGGCUCAACCCAUAGACUGCGUCCGAAACUACUGUUCUUGAGUGAUGUAGAGGCAGGCGGAAUUCCCGGUGUAGCGGUGGAAUGCGUAGAUAUCGGGAGGAACACCAGUGGCGAAGGCGGCCUGCUGGGCAUUAACUGACGCUGAGGCUCGAAAGUAUGGGGAGCAAACAGGAUUAGAUACCCUGGUAGUCCAUACCGUAAACGAUGAUUACUAGGUGUGGGGGGGAUAGACCCCCUCCGUGCCGCAGCUAACGCAAUAAGUAAUCCACCUGGGGAGUACGGCCGCAAGGCUGAAACUCAAAGGAAUUGACGGGGGCCCGCACAAGCAGUGGAGUAUGUGGUUUAAUUCGACGCAACGCGAAGAACCUUACCAGGUCUUGACAUCCCGUGCAUAGCAUAGAGAUAUGUGAAGUCUUUCGGGACACGGUGACAGGUGGUGCAUGAUGUCGUCAGCUCGUGUCGUGAGAUGUUGGGUUAGUCCCGCACGAGCGCACCCUAUGUAGUACUACGCAGAGACUCUACGAGACUGCGUGACAACCGAGAGGUGGGAUGACGUCCAUCAGCAUGCCUUUAUGACUGGGCUACACCACG